rnacentral:rRNA from 1 species
AGUGAACGCUGGCGGUAGGCCUAACACAUGCAAGUCGAACGGCAGCGCAGGAGAGCUUGCUCUCUGGGUGGCGGGUGGCGGACGGGUGAGGAAUACAUCGGAAUCUACUCUGUCGUGGGGGAUAACGUAGGGAAACUUACGCUAAUACCGCAUACGACCUACGGGUGAAAGCAGGGGACCUUCGGGCCUUGCGCGAUUGAAUGAGCCGAUGUCGGAUUAGCUAGUUGGCGGGGUAAAGGCCCACCAAAGCGACGAUCCGUAGCUGGUCUGAGAGGAUGAUCAGCCACACUGGAACUGAGACACGGUCCAGACUCCUACGGGAGGCAGCAGUGGGGAAUAUUGGACAAUGGGCGCAAGCCUGAUCCAGCCAUACCGCGUGGGUGAAGAAGGCCUUCGGGUUGUAAAGCCCUUUUGUUGGGAAAGAAAUCCAGCUGGCUGAUACCCGGUUGGGAUGACGGUACCCAAAGAAUAAGCACCGGCUAACUUCGUGCCAGCCGCCGCCGUAA